CAUUCAACCUCCCGAGUGGCUGGGACGACAGUGCACAUUUGCGAGCGGGUGAAAAUUUCUGUGAAUGUUUAUAAGCACAUGGAACGGGCAUCUUUGUGGCUGCGGGAGUUGCACGGGUCACUCAUGAGGCCGCCCACGUGGCGCUUGUUGCUUCACCUCUCGAGUAACUGACGGUAUGUUCUGGCCCUCAGCUCUCCCGGGCAGUGUCCAUCACACUCAUGGCUUCCUAGACUUCCAUCUCCGGUCUAAUCACCUUCCGAACGCCAGAACCAUCACGUCUGCUGCCCUUGAACACCUCCCCUAGGUGUCCCUGUGGGCCACCCAGGUUCCCUCCACCCCAGUCUUCCCCACCUGCUUCUCCUUCAUGCUUCCCUCUCAGGGAGUUUGAGACCAGGCUGACCAACAUGGAGAAACCCCGACUCUACUAGAAAUACAAAAUCAGCUGGGUGUGGU
rnacentral:lncRNA from 1 species